AAGGAGAAAAGCGGAGGGGUUGUGGUGGGUAAUAGAAGAGGAACUACUUUUAUUGCGGCGUUACUUCUUCGCCUCGCCGCCGGUCCGCUUGUUUACAGCUUUGCAGAAGCGGCGGCGGGGGGCGGAGAGAGACCGACUCUUUCCUUGUCCACGGAAGGAUGGAAGUCGGUCAGCCCGCCCCACCUAAAGGCGGCGGUGAUGAUGAUGAGAAUCCCCCUCACUCCCCCAGUUCGGGUCUUUAAAUAAGUCUCCGGGCGCGACCAAUCCGUCCAGGAGGAACAUGCCCGGGCGGAUCGCGCGCCCUUAGAGCCAAGCGCAGCGCACAUCGGGGGGAAGUCGCUUUGGCCGGCCAGCCAACCACCCACCCGCUCGCCCCGGUGCGAAAGGGCUGCCACGGCGGCAUCGCUCACCGUCCUGCGAAGGUCUGGUUAGAAUGAAGCUGGACGGCGGCUACUGAGGUCUAGAAUACCCUGAUAGACUCCAUUCUACGUUCUAACCUGACUUGAUGUGGCUUGUACUCAGGUUGCAACAGGACAGAUUGAAGACAAACGAGGCAGAAGAAGAACAUCAUGGCUUCAAAAUCUAAGGGACUGGUUUGGACAAAACUCAGCAGCACUUUUUCAUGCGGCUGUUGAUAAAAAUAGGAUCGCCAACAUGAUCGCCAACGUCCGAUGGAUAUAGCGCAAGAAGAAGAAAAUACACAUGCACCCCCCACUCACCCACACACAAUUCUUCAUUCGUGGAGACCUAUGGGGAAAUUUUAAAGACUAUCCCUAGUGAAACCUAAGCACAUGUGAGUGACUGGAUAGUUUCUGAGAGAGUAACUUAAAUGUUC